CAGUAACGGCGAGUGAAGCGGCAACAGCUCAAAUUUGAAAUCUGGCUCCUUCGGGGUCCGAAUUGUAAUUUGUAGAGAGUGCUUCGGGCGAGACCUCGGUCUAAGUCCAUUGGAACAUGGUGUCAUAGAGGGUGAGAAUCCCGUAUGCGACCGUGGCUCGAGCCCAUGUGAAGCCUCUUCGACGAGUCGAGUUGUUUGGGAAUGCAGCUCAAAACGGGUGGUAAAUUUCAUCUAAAGCUAAAUACUGGCUGGAGACCGAUAGCGCACAAGUAGAGUGAUCGAAAGAUGAAAAGCACUUUGGAAAGAGAGUCAAACAGUACGUGAAAUUGUUGAAAGGGAAGCGCUUGCAACCAGACCUGCCCGUAGGCGAUCAGCCGCUGUUCUCAGCGGUGCACUCGCUCUGCGAUCAGGCCAGCAUCGGUUUCGGCGGUCGGAUAAAGGCCCUGGGAAUGUAGCUUCCCUUCGGGGGAGUCUUAUAGCCCUCGGUGUAAUGCGGCCAGCCGGGACCGAGGACCGCGCUUCGGCUAGGAUGCUGGCGUAAUGGUUGUAAGCGACCCGUCUUGAAACACGGACCAAGGAGUCUAACAUCUAUGCGAGUGUUUGGGUGUCAAACCCAUGCGCGGAAUGAAAGUGAACGGAGGUGAGAACCCUUAAGGGCGCAUCAUCGACCGAUCCAGAUGUCUUCGGAUGGAUUUGAGUAUGAGCAUAGCUGUUGGGACCCGAAAGAUGGUGAACUAUGCCUGAAUAGGGUGAAGCCAGAGGAAACUCUGGUGGAGGCUCGCAGCGGUUCUGACGUGCAAAUCGAUCGUCAAAUUUGGGUAUAGGGGCGAAAGACUAAUC
rnacentral:rRNA from 1 species